rfam:Stegodyphus mimosarum contig13470, whole genome shotgun sequence.
GCCUUCGUGGUGUAGUGGUCAGCACGCUCGACGAGUAACUGAGAGGUCCGUGGUUCGAUUCCCGGAGAUGGCG